rnacentral:rRNA from 1 species
AACGAACGCUGGCGGCAUGCCUAACACAUGCAAGUCGAACGAGACCUUCGGGUCUAGUGGCGCACGGGUGCGUAACGCGUGGGAACCUGCCCUUAGGUUCGGAAUAACUCCCCGAAAGGGGUGCUAAUACCGGAUAAUGUCUUCGGACCAAAGAUUUAUCGCCUUUGGAUGGGCCCGCGUUGGAUUAGCUAGUUGGUAGGGUAAAAGCCUACCAAGGCGACGAUCCAUAGCUGGUCUGAGAGGAUGAUCAGCCACACUGGGACUGAGGCACGGCCCAGACUCCUACGGGAGGCAGCAGUGGGGAAUAUUGGACAAUGGGCGAAAGCCUGAUCCAGCAAUGCCGCGUGAGUGAUGAAGGCCUUAGGAUUGUAAAGCUCUUUUACCCGGGAUGAUAAUGACAGUACCGGGAGAAUAAGCUCCGGCUAACUCCGUG